rnacentral:rRNA from 1 species
UACGAAGGGGGCUAGCGUUGUUCGGAAUUACUGGGCGUAAAGCGCGCGCAGGCGGCCAUUCAAGCCAGGGGUGAAAGCCCAGAGCUCAACUCUGGAACUGCCCUUGAAACUGUAUGGCUUGAGUAUGAGAGAGGUGAGUGGAAUUCCCAGUGUAGAGGUGAAAUUCGUAGAUAUUGGGAAGAACACCGGUGGCGAAGGCAGCCCCCUGGGUCAAGACUGACGCUCAUGCACGAAAGCGUGGGGAGCAAACAGG